ACAAGUAAUCCUCGUGUGUGACAGAGAGAGAGAGAGAGAGAGAGAGAGAGAGAGAGAGAGAAACGAGCUGGCGGAGAGGAGCAGAAGGCAGGAGGGGAAAUCUGGCACAACGGCUGGGAGAGGAAACUUGAUGCUUCUGGGCCACCAUUUGCCAGGGCCUCGCUCGAGGAGCGAGAGCAAGAAGAGGAGGAGGAGGUGGAGGAGAAGGAGGAGGAGGAGGAGAGGUGGAAGAGGAGGAGGAGGAGGAGGAGGAGGAGGAGGAGGAGGAGGAGGAGGAGGAGGAGGAGGAGGAGGAGGAAAGAAUGGAGGCGCCGCGGAGCCCUGAUUAUGCAUGGGCUGGAGCUGCCUCCUCUAACCUGUUCUUCUCCGAGCCGGGCAGCCGGCGGUCCUCAGCCGCCCACAGAACAGGAGCCGAAACAACCGUUCUCGAAGGCUACAGCGUUUAUUUUUCUCUUUUGGGGGGUUUUGGCGGUUGUUUCAGGGGCUCGCCAACUGGCCCCUUUAAUUAAAAGCUUCAAUAAAAGGCGAUCGCGCCAGGAAUGCACCCGCUCCUCUUCGCGCAGGAUUUGCAUAUUUUUUUAAUGCCCUAAUUUCCUUGAUGUAUGUAAAUGUAGCCGGACGUAGAGGGAGACAGGGAGCUGACGUCAAUGGACGUGACCUCGCAGCUAAACCUUGAACGUGAAGCCGGGAUGGGGGAAAACACGGAGCGGCAGCCGGCGGAGCCCGAGAGCGCGGGCGGCGGCGGCAGUAGCCGAGCCCAGGCCGGGGUGCCAAGGGACCAGUGCCGGCCCCGGGGGAGGACAAGCCGCCGCCUUCUUUCUGCACCGCGCGGCUCUCAGACUCGCCAGCCUUCCGGCCGCACACGCAGACUCUUGCCCUGAGCUUCCAGCCCCACCACACACACGUUCUUUUGCUUCCCUCAGAAAAGCAACACUCCCCAAAACAACAAACCAAAAUCAACAGAUAAAACAGAUGUUUUAGACCAAUGCUCGGGUAGCUUAUCAGAAAGAAGACUCUGACCACGGAACAUAUAUAUUUUUUGGCUUCUCUCCACAAGAAGAGGAGCGAGAGACCACAGACAACAGCAAAUCACUCCUAAAACACGAUAACUACAAGUGCUCCCUGUAGGGAGAGGUAAAUCGCCCAGCCGACUGGUGAAGUCUUCUGGUUUCGACGCCGAAAGAAGCCUGUUUGUGUGCUGCGGCCGUGCUGUGACUUUGGAUCUUGUCUUUCAGCCGGCGCCUCGGUUCCUGCCCAGCUGGAUUUGGGGGGCAGCAUUGCCUGGCGCAGGGAGAUCAAAUGAGACUGCAAAGAAGCAUAAAAUGAAUAGACAAUCCAACCAACCAAAGACCGGGGGCAGCAGCAGGCCAGCAAGACGGCAUCUUCUCCUUCCCAGCCUAGAAGCCCUGUGAAAUCGAGGAUCUUCCCCCUAAAACACAUACACACAAGAUAUGUGCAAUCAAGCUGCCACCGCUUGGUAAAAAGCCAUGGUGCCUAACCAAAAAGGAUCAGGAACAGAUCCUUGAAUCAGCUGUCACUUCUAUAGAAUGGGAUUUUUUUUUCCUUCCUCCUUAACCUGCGCUGGAAAUUGCCGUUGGCUUUAUACAUCUCUAUAGAGAGAGGCUAAAGAGUCUUGCGUGAGAAAGAAGCAAUUUACAAUGCAAAUAGAGGCCUGUGAAGGGACGGAUGCUGCUGCUCACUCGUAACAGCUUGCUGCACCUUAAUAGCUGGUUUUAUUUUCUGAUAUUAAUAGAUGAAUUGUUGGCUAACGCUGCCGGAGAUUACUUGCUGAAAGGAAAAAGAAAAGUUCGGAAUAAACUCUGAAGGCAACAGAUCUCGUUUGGAUGUUUUAGCCGCGCACACACACAAACAGAAACCAGGUCAUAUUUACAUAAAAGGAGGAAUCUUAAGCGCGGCAAGUAUCCUGGACGACCACUCUUCGGUACUGCCAGAAAGGAUCAGGACCUGGAGUCUGGCAAGAGGAAGACAGAGGCCUGUGUGGGAAGCGAGUUGUUAUCUUUGGUUAUCUAGCUGUAUGAGUGUAUUGGUCUUCAUAAAGCUAGAUAACCGAAAGUAAAAACUCCUUCAAGAUCGCCGGGGAGCGUGUGAGAAUGAAAGACUACAGCCGAGAGACAGUAAAAACCAGAAAGGUCAGGAAUACUUAUUGAAUCUAACUUUGUUUUUGUUUUGUUUUUUUCCUUAUGAUUAAAGGUGGGAUGAGAGAAAAUUAAAUGACACACACAUGCUAAAAUAUCAAGGUUCCAGAUAUGUCUUGAGAGGGGUUGUUGCAGCUGCAAAGGAGAAGUGUAUAGUGAUAAUGAGUAAAGAUGCAUGUGCAGUUUGUUCUAUUUUAAGGCAAAAGUUAUAUCAGGGAUUUUUUUCUUAGAAAGGUGUUGCAGAGAUGUCUGGUACCUAGUUUAAAAAUGAUUCCAUAAUAUGUAGACUUGGGCAGUUCCUUUGGGAGGCACCUCCCUCUCAAAAUUUGAAGAUUGUGCUUGGAAAUUACUUUACAUGUAUUUGGGCUGUAUGUCAAUUUGUACGAAAUUAGACUUUCAGAAAAGUUUAUACUGGAAGGUUAAUAAUUUGUAUCUACUGAGGACUUAGAGCUAGCAGGCAAAAUG
rnacentral:lncRNA from 1 species